ACAGUGACGGCGGGCAUGACCUUCUUUCAGAGGUCAGGUUUCCCCACACAAUGAUGCACACCGGGAAGCACUCGCGAUCGAAAGUGUGCCUAAGCGCGGGCCCUGGAUGAUCAGGGCGAAAUACGGUUGGAUCUGUCUCUUCUACCCUCGCCUUCUUCGCUGACCCAGAAGUUGCAGCGCCUUUCUGCUCGUGGGCUCUGAGAUUCUGGGCCAACAUCCGAGCCGUAUC
rnacentral:lncRNA from 1 species